UUUAAUCUUUGCACUGUUGUCGUCGUGUGCCAUCCAGUGGGUUGGGACUCGUAGUGACCCUACGGGACAGAGUUGAACUGCCCCACAGGGUUCCUAAAGAGCAGCCUGUGGAUUCGAACUGCUGUCGUUUUGGUCAGCAGCUGAGCUCUGAACCGCUGAGCCACCAGGGCUCCAUCUUCGCACUAACUCUCCAGUAUGAGAAGCAGUCUAAACGCAGGCCGUCCUUGAGGUAACUGAAUGAGAUGACGAGAGAGUGCGUCGAAAAGAGGGGGUUGAAAAUUCCAGCCACAGGUAUUUUCCUUCCACAAGCUGUAAAAAGCAUCGCACUGCACGCACCCAACGUUAGGAAGCUGCCUCAAGGGCUGCAAUUUCUUACUCCUUUCAGUUGAGACGGGACAUCUCCAAGUGUGUUCACAACCCAAAGGUCGUCAUAAGGGAAUGACAGCACCCUCAGUCCAUCAAACACACGCCCCCUUGGAGGGGUGAGGAAACUCUCUUCGAUGUCACGAAGACAGUCACGACAGAAACCGGAAGGGCACAUACCAGCAGCGCUAGCCAAAGGUAGUAAUAAAUAUUAGGGGAGAAGAGGGAUUCAUAAUGAGGUCAGAGAAGCAAUGGGUUGAACGAAGGUAAUUUUUUUGUUGUUGUUCUCAGAAUCUGUUACUAGGCAGAGGUAUUAUCACUGCCUUAGUUUUUAGUAGUCCAUUAUAAUCUACAAUCAUUUCAUUAUUUAAAUUUUCCUUAAAUUUGGAGUUUGGCCACAAUGUUAAUCUCUGAAUCAUGAAUGACAGAGCAGUUAUGGCAAAUUGUCCACUCUGAGCAAAACGUACCCCAGAGAUGAAGAUUGCAUGACUCCAGUGGCAUUACAGUGGUUACACUGAUUAUUCACUGAUUUCUAGUGGCUCUCAGUCAUCUACCUACCUAGUUUUUAAAAUGGCUAAUGAUCAUUUGGAUUAUAGUUUUGCUGUAUAUAAAUAUAUAUUAGUAUUUUUUAAAGUGGGAAUCAUGAUCAUUAAGUUGUGAAGACAAUUUUGUAAGCUACAAUGUUUAUAAUAGAAAACAGCAGAGUGCACUGCAAUUAGAAUAGGUAAGUAUUGUUUGGGGGAACUUUUGUUUCAGUUAUUUUAUCAAAGGCUUUGGAUGCAGUUCCUAGUCACCCAAUUUUAGAGUCUUGAGUUCUGAGAAUACUAUCCACCAAAUUCUGGGAAUCAGACAUGGAAAAAUCUCAAUCGUUUACUGCCUCAACACCUUCUCCAGUUCCUUCUCACUCACCGAACACCAACCAGAGCCACCAUCACUCCUCUGACCAUCCAACUGCAUUCAACGACGCUUUGUCAGGUUUCCAUUAUUUAAAAGUUGCUUUUAUUUUGCCAAGUGUUAUUUGUAUUUAUUAUGCAUCUAACAUGUUUCACUGUUUACUGUCAUUUUAGUAUCUGUUACCUGAAGUGUAGGAAAACUUAAUUCAUAUUUCAUAUUGUUCAAUAUCACUGCAUAAGGCCCAGAAAAGUAUCGACUAAUUCACUAAUUGUUGGGGUUUGAAAUAUUUUACAUUAUUCAGAAAUACUUCACAGAAGUCAUGUAGGUGGUUUAAGUUGAAUUUGAAUUAUAUUUUGAGAAAUUGGUUAGGGGUUUUUAAUGGCGUGGGAACACAUUUUCUCCAUUUAAAACAGUGGCGGUAUGUUGUUGUGUUCGCUGCUGCCGUGUCACUUCCAACUCAUAGCGACCCUGUGUACAACAGAAGGAAACACUGCUCAGUCCUGCACCAUCUUCACAACCUUUACUACGUUUGAACCCACCACUGCAGCCACUAGGUCAAUCCAUCUCACUGAGGGUCUUCCUCUUUUUCCAUGACCCUCUACCUUACCAAGCAUGAUGUCUUCCUCCAGGGACUGGUCCCUCCUGUAACAAUGUCCAAAGUACGUGACAUGAAGUCCUGCCAUCUGCACUUCCAAGGUGCACUCUGGAUGCACUUCUUCCAAGACAGGCUUGUUUGUUCUCCUGGCAGUCCAUAGUAUAUUCAAUAUUCUUUGCUAACACCAUCAUUCAAAGGUAUCAAUUCUUCAGUCUUGCUUAUUCAUUGUCCAGCUUUCACAUACAUAUGAGGUGACUGAAAA